rnacentral:rRNA from 1 species
UACAUGGGGUGCAAACGUUGCUCGGAAUUAUUGGGCGUAAAGCGCACGUAGGCGGUUCGUUAAGUCAGAUGUGAAAGCCCCCCGGCUCAACCGGGGGAAGUGCAUCUGAAACUGGCGAGCUAGAGUACGAAAGAGGGUCGCGGAAUUCCCGGUGUAGAGGUGAAAUUCGUAGAUAUCGGGAGGAACACCGGUGGCGAAGGCGGCGACCUGGGUCGAUACUGACGCUGAGGUGCGAAAGCGUGGGGGAGCAAACAGG